rnacentral:rRNA from 1 species
CACCGCGGUCAUACAAGAGACCCAAAUUAACUGUAUCACGGCGUAAAGAGUGGUGCUACGCUAUCACAACAACUAGGAUCGAAAUACAAUUGAGCUGUCAUAAGCUUAAAGUGUACCUAAGGCCACCCUCAACAUGAUCCUAGCACCAGUGACCAACUUCCCCCCACGAAAGCUAGGAUA